GUACGGGGGGGGGCAAGCGUUGUUCGGAAUUACUGGGCGUAAAGGGCUUGUAGGUGGCCAACUAAGUCAGACGUGAAAUCCCUCAGCUUAACUGGGGAACUGCUUCUGAUACUGGAUGGCUUGAGUUUGGGAGAGGGAUGCGGAAUUCCAGGUGUAGCGGUGAAAUGCGUAGAUAUCUGGAGGAACACCGGUGGCGAAGGCGGCAUCCUGGACCAACACUGACACUGAAAAGCGAAAGCCAGGGGAGCAAACGGG
rnacentral:rRNA from 1 species